UGCAGUGCAUUUCUUGCAAUCCUGACGCAUGAAGAAAUGCUCAACUCCUGAUGCAUGGCGAAAAUAUUGGGACAUAUAAAAAAAGACAACUCUGUGCCGCAGAAUAGCGGUUGACAUAGUUGCACAGGAACUUUGUUGACUCUAGAGAACCUCGGGCAAAUCGCACAUCCCCGUGGUGGUGACUUUGCAUGCGGAUGUCAUCCAUAUGAACUUUUGAUGCCAGUUUUUGCGCCUGCCAUGGUGACCACGGGUAAUGGGGAAUCAGGGUUCCAUGCCAUACAGGGACCCUGAGAAACAGCUACCACAUGCAAGGAAGGCAGCAGGUGCGCAAAUGACCCACUCCCAACGCGGGAAGGUAGUGACG
rnacentral:rRNA from 1 species